GCAGACUUCAAGGCACGCAAGUGGGAUACAGAUUUGCCAACCGACUCUGCCAUACUUAUGCAUGUAUUCUGUACGUACCUUGAUGCCCGGCUGCCGCCUCAUCCAAAAUACCCCGAUGGCAAAACCUUUACCUCCCAGCACUUCAUUCAGACGCCGGAUAAGCCAGACGUGGCAAACGAAAAUUUAUUUUGCAUCUACCAGAGCAGCGUCAACCCUCCUCACUACGAACUUAUCUACCAAGGCCAAGUCUACAAUCUACCCAAGGUAAGAAUGCAGGCGCUUCUCAUCGAUGCCUCUAGAAUGGUGGUGGUGGGGGGAAAAACAGAAAAAGAGGUCUAAAGCUGUGAAGUAAGCCUCUAGUGGAACGGAGGCAGGGUCAGCCUAGGAGCAGGAUAGAAUCAUGGAGUUGGAAGGGGCCUCUGAGGCCAUCAAGUCCAACCCCCUGCUCAAGGGAGGAAUACAAAGCAGAUCGGACGACAAUGACUGUCAAAGGUUCUCUUGAAUCCCUCCAGUGUUGGAGCGCUCACCACCUCCCUGAGGUCAUGGGUUCCAUUGUUGUACUGCUCUAACAGUUAAGAAUUUUUUUCCGUGAAUAUAACAACCCAGCUUUGGAAAAGUCGUCUUCCUGAAGGGAGUGGAAAGUGUGAAUUCCUCACACCGUGGUGCCGUAUCUCUUGUUGACCUGAGUAGCAGAUUCCUGUUCUUCUUAACUAACUUGGCUUGCUAGAUGUUCCUCAUGACCUAGUUCAUUCUCCUCGCUACUCACCCUCCCCUUACUGUCCCCCUUUUGUAAAUAAAUUGUGCUGUUUGGGCUGUGUAAGGAUCAGCAGCAAUCAUCGAAUCAUGGAGUGGGACGGGCCAACUGUAAGGCCCUCGAGUCCAACCCCCUGGCUCGAAGCAGGAAUCCCAGAUCAGAGCAGAUAUCUGACUGAGGGCAGUCCAGUUUUCUCUUGAAGGCCUCCAGUGCUGGAGCGCUCAGCAACUCCCAAGGAUCAGCUUGUUCCUAGUGUAUUAGGGGACGUGGUGGCGCUGCGGUUUAAACCGCUGAAGCCUCUG